rnacentral:rRNA from 1 species
GUGUCAGCAGCCGCGGUAAUACGUAGGAGGCGAGCGUUGUCCGGAGUUACUGGGCGUAAAGGGUGCGCAGGCGGUGGUGCGCGUGGAUAGAUGAAAUCUCCUGGCUUACCUGGGAGGAUGGUAUCCAGACGGCAUCACUUGAGGGUCGGAGAGGGGCGUGGAAUUCCGGGUGGAGCGGUGAAAUGCGUAGAGAUCCGGAGGAACACCGACGGCGUAGGCAGCGCCCUGGACGACACCUGACGCUGAGGCACGAAAGCUGGGGGAGCGAACAGGAUUAGAUACCCCCGUAGUCC